CCAAACAGCUAAAUAAGUAUAAAAAAGUAAUUUUUUUGAAAAAGACAAACUGAAAUUAACUGACCAAAAGGCAAUACAAGUCAGUUGUGACUGCCACAUUGCUGCCAAAAGUCCAAUGUGGCAUUAGUUUGUAUUAAGCGGAAAAUGUGGCCAGCACAGGGUGGGUGAUGAGUCUGUUCAUUUUUUUUAGAUCUUACUGCAUUUAGAGACUUUUCUAAAAUUCUAGAUCGUACAUUUUCAGAGGCACAUUGACAAACUAAAAUAUAUUCAGAGGAAAGUGAGUGUUAAAGGUUUGGGAAACAAUCAUGUAUGAGAAACUCUUGAUGGAACUGGGGUUAUUCUGCUAAAAAAUAGAAGGCUUUUGGGACAUUCGAGAACUACUCUCAAAUACUGAGAUCAGUUGAGAACUCAGGGCUGACUUCAGGAGGGGAGCAUCAUUAGUUCCCCCUUAUAAUCUCCCCUAAAAUUUCUCUUUCUCUUGGAGAUUAUACUGGAAAUGGAAAAAGAUUGUUGUUUUAUUAUAUGUAAAAAUACCAAGUAAUUUUUACUGUUAUCUUAUAGUAUCUCCUUCCUAUUCUUCUAGCUCUGUCCUGUGACAAAUAAUAGCUUCUAGAGCAGAAAAACCUCCCCCACCUCAAGUCUUCAGAGAUAGUUUCAUUUAUCUAAUGAGAUCCAUCCUCCCUGGAUUCGGAAGGAAGGUCUAAAUGCCCUCUAAAAUGACUCCAUGCUGAAGGAAUCCAUGAAUCUGCUCUCUUGUCAUCCCCACGCCCUCAACAUUCUUUGACUUCUUGACUUGCUUAUUCUGUCAGAGACCACACCUCAGUCAUCCAGGCUCAAAACCACAAAGUCACCUUUCACUCAUCUUCUCCUCCUUCAUUCCUUAGAUUUCACAAAGCCCCAAGUCCUGAGAUACAACCAGAUUUUGUCCAUCACACAGUGCCCUUGCCCAAUCCAGAGACAUUGACCAGAAACUUGAGCUUUCUGUAAUAUGUGGCAAUGGUAUAUGCUCCUAUUAAGUGCAAAUCAGAGAUUCUGCACAUGGGAGGGAGGCUGGGGAAAAUUUGAGAAGCAGCUCCUCCCUUCUGACUCUGUAUCAGUAUGUCCAACCCUGUUAUCUAGGAAAGCCUCGUCCCGGAGAGAGUGUGGAAGAUGUUUAAGGGAAGCCAAAUUCACAAAGCCACAGGGCGUUAUCUUAUGAUUUGAGUGUAGUUCCUAAGAGGCAGUGGACGGCCUGGUGGAUCCCUGGAGUCCUCCCCAGGCUGAGAGAUGUGGCUGUGCGCCCUGUGAAGCCCUGGCAUAGAGAACAGCUGCAGAUUUCACAGGAAAUUGUAGGAGAUGGGAAUUCAGCAUGAGGCAAAACGUCUUGUUUUGCUGUUCUCAGCCUCCUGGGUCUCCAGGGCUCAGGGCCAAUACGUUGGAGACUGGGAAAUGCACGAGACGGUUAUGACAUAUGUCUGCAGCUCUAUUUCUUCAGAUGGAGGCUUAGAUAAUCAGUUUGUAACAUCCAUAUUGUGAAAACUUUUCCUAGACUAGUCUUGUGGUUUGAGAGAGUAGCCAGAGGUCACCAUUUACUUCAUUAUUCCCUCUCUGGGCUGAGGUACCGCUUAGGGCAUUCAAAAAAGCAGAGAGCUGGCCUCAGGGACAUCUGAAGGUCUCUCCCUCCUCAUUAUAGGCGGUCUACUUUGAGCAUCCCAGCCAGAAAGUUAUCUUUUCAAUAGGCCUAGUGAACUUGGGACAGGCCUUCACCCCUCCUUAGGGGCCUGCAAAGAAUUCCCAGCCACCAGGAAGCUUGGCAGGAAACUCUGGGAGCAGGGGACAUAUGUGACCUCCUGUUCCAAGUUCAUGUGCUCCCAGCUCAUGGUUCUAGGACGUAGGGUCAAAGUUGUGGAGUCUGGGGAAAUCCGGGUAAUGUUGCAGAACAUGAGCUACCGCAUCCUGCUUCUGAUUGUCUGCUCCUGAUAACCAUGUCGUCGUGGGAACCUCUCCCCCUCAGUGAUGCGGGGAAUCUUCAGGGAUGCUCCUCCACUCAGCCUCAAUCCAUCAGGACACUGUGAUUUCAGGGAUUGUCGGGAAGGACUCUGUCCUAAGAGGCCCAGAGUCUUGGAUUCUGAGCAAACCUGCCUACCACCGCUGGGCCACCGCUGGGCCACCGCUGGAAGACUGGCAGCUCUCCUUCCUCCCUUCCGCCGAGAAUGAAGCUUCCUCUCCACCAGAAAACCGCUACAGCAAAAACACACUAGGAAUCCUCAAUUUGGGAGUCCCUGGAACUAGAAUGAAUUUCUCUAGGUCAGAGGUCAGCAAGCAUUUUCUACACAAGAUCAGGUAGUAACUAUUUUAGGCUUUUACGACAGAGAACCAUAUAGUCUCUGUCACGACUAUUCAAUUUAGCCAUCAUCGUGCGAGAAAAAGUGUGGACAAUACUGAACAAAUAAAUGUGGCUGGAUUUGACCUGUGGGCUGUGGUUUGUCAACUCCUGUUCUAGAGCCUAAAACUGAAUCCUCACUAAUGGCCAGUUCAGUGCACGAAGAGCAUAAUUUUGCUCUUUUUUUCAGUUUUAUAUUCACCUGGACUACUUUUUGCUGUGUCUUCACCUCCAAUAUUCAAACAGCCGCCUACCAGCAGUUCUGUGACAAGACCUAGGAAUCUGCAGAGAAUGAAGUAUCUGGGCUUUGUUCAAGACAGCCGCGUGUCUGUGGAGUUUGACCUGUCAUUCGACCAUGUCUAGGUGUGUCAGUGUGGGCAAGUCUACUCACUCAACUCCGGAAGAAGGGCCUGUGGGACACUGUGUCUUUCAGGAUUCCUCUCCCGUUUACUCAAGGACAGGACUUUAGUCCUCAUCAAGGGAAGCCAACAUCUUUAAAUAACUGGCAGUAAAAGUGACACCAUAUACCUGCGUCACUGGUAUAGUCCGUGUGAAAUAAGGCCUGUGCUCUCACAUAGGAAAUGUCCCUGGACUAAGAGCCAGUCCUCUGUGCCCCAAAUCCCACCACUGCCAGAGGGCUACCGUCUGCGUGUUCACCCUCUGUGAUUCCGUUCCCCUAACUUUCAGUGUAGCUUCUAAUUAAAAAAAGGAUAGCUAUCCUAAUAUAGUGUAGAGCUGAAGAAAAAGGGUGCAAAAUUGUAGGUGAUGUCACCUAAGGGUUUUCUAAAAUUACGUAUAUUUAUAUUUGUUCCAGGAUUCCUCCCUCCCUCCCUCCCGUCCUUGUUUCCUUCCCUCCUUCCUUUUCUCCCCUCUCUCUUUCUUUCUCUCUUUUUUGUAUUAAUAAUCUCCUACUUCUUUCUAAGAUGGUAUAUCCUAGGGACCAGAGGGUCCUUUUCCCACCUAAUUAUGGGAUAGGUGUGGGAAUAUCAGCUUGAAAGAAUGAAAGGUGAGCUAAAUUGCUCUACCUAAGAAAAGAAACAUGGAGAAGCCAAGAGAAGGACCUGGACAAGGGGAGGCUGGUGCCAUGGGAAAUGAAGUUGGGCAGGGUGUUGAGAGGGAGGCUAAAGAGAGGAGACAUACUGAGGUGGGGACAAUGAUGGUGAGUGCUGUGGUGAGCAAGAUGAGAACUGUCUUCCAUCUCCUCUUUGGAAUCUUCAGGAACAUCUUCAGUCUAAUGCCUUGUGGGGUUGAGUUUUUGUUCUUUGAGUUUAUAAAGAAGCAAGACAGUACAGUGUGAAGACAGAUCUCCUCACCAGGAGACAGUCAAUGUGCUCUCUCUCACGCAUACACGCUUCCUUGUUUAUACAUUUUAUGUAUUAUGGGAAAAUUUUCCUUAUGUAGAUGUGCAAUGUAUGACAGAACAGACCAAAAUCUGAACAGUUGUUAAUUCUUCAUGGUGGGAUUGCCAAUCAGUUUUACUUGUAAUGCUUUUUUUGUAUUAUCUAAAUUUUGUAUAAGGAAUAAACUUUAAUUUUAUACCGAGAAAAAUUAAA